rnacentral:misc_RNA from 1 species
ACCUUGUUUUGGAGAUUCAGUUGAUAAAGGAUCGGCGAUCUUUUCCACUCUUCCUCGGGAAUCCCUCGUUUUCAAUCUGUGUCUUCUUUUCCAGAAUAUAAUGUUCCAGAUUUUCAAGGACUGGUUCUGAUUUGAUAGAAUUCUGACUCCCCCAGAAAGAGAGGAGUAAUACAUAGGAAGAAUGGAGGGUGACACAUUUUCAGGACUUGGCAAUGGUACCCAGAUUGAUGGCAAGAUCUUACAGACAUUUCAGAAGAACUUUGUUCAGGU